rnacentral:rRNA from 1 species
UGCGCAGGCGGUUACUUAAGUCAGGUGUGAAAGCCCUGGGCUUAACCUAGGAAUUGCGCUUGAGACUGGGUAGCUUUUGAGUGCGGCAGAGGGAGGUGGAAUUCCACGUGUAGCAGUGAAAUGCGUAGAGAUGUGGAGGAACACCGAUGGCGAAGGCAGCCUCCUGGGCCAGCACUGACGCUCAUGCACGAAAGCGUGGGGAGCAAACAGGAUUAGAUACCCCUGGUAGUCCACGCCCUAAACGAUGUCAACUGGUUGUUGGUGGGGUUAAACCCAUUAGUAACGAAGCUAACGCGUGAAGUUGACCGCCUGGGGAGUACGGCCGCAAGGUUAAA